GAGGGAUAUUGGUCAAUGGGCGCAAGCCUGAACCAGCGACGCCGCGUGGGUGAAGAAGGUCUUCGGAUCGUAAAGCCCUUUUCCCACUGAAGAGGAAGGACGGUAGGUGGGGAAGAAGUCUCGGCUAACUACGUGCCAGCAGCCGCGGUAAAACGUAGGAGACAAGCGUUAUCCGGAGUUACUGGGCGUAAAGGGCGUGCAGGUGGCGUCUUAAGUCUGUUGUGAAAGCGCCUGGCUUAACCGGGCGAGGCCAAUGGAGACUGAGAGGCUGGAGGACGGCGGAGGGGUGUGGAAUUCCGGGUGUAGUGGUGAAAUGCGUAGAGAUCCGGAGGAACACCAGAGGCGAAGGCGGCACUCUAAGCCGUACCUGACACUGAGACGCGACAGCACGGGGAGCAAACG
rnacentral:rRNA from 1 species